rnacentral:pre_miRNA from 1 species
GCGCCCGGGCGGGGCCGAGGGGACUCGGGAGUCGGAGCGGAGAACCAGCCCCCGGCCGCCGCGUCCCCGCGCCGCUCCCCGC